AGCUUUGCACAGUGGCAGUAUCGUAGCCUAUGAGGCUUAUCUGAGGCAUGAUUAUUGCUAAUUGAAAAUUUUUCCCAGAGAGUGGGGUGGUGUUUAUUGGGAGUAAAAACAGGAAGGAAUGAACAUCAGAAGAGAAUCUAUUGGAAAUUGAGAGUAUACGAAUUCAA
rnacentral:snRNA from 11 species